rnacentral:rRNA from 1 species
AUGGCAAGGCCGCUCCCUCCUAGGCCGGUGACUAGUUUCGUCUCGUCAACGACGACGACAAACUUUCCUGAUGCGGCCUCGACCAUCUUCUCCCGGAGCAGGGCUCCACCCCGGCCUUUGACAAGGUUAAGAUCUGGGUCGAUGACGGGGUGGUCGUCGAGGGUGGAGAGGGGGAUCCCCAGCGACGUGGCCUGCUCGAAGGUGCGCUUGGAGGUGGGCACGCCGACGAUGCCGGAGAGCUUCCCGCUGGCGAGGAGCGCGCCGAUCUCGGCGACGGCGAAGGCGGCCGUGGACCCCGUCCCGAGCCCCAGGACCAUGCCGCUCUGCACCUGCUCCACCGCGCGCACCGCCGCGAGCCUCUUCAGGUCGUCCUGCGUCAGCGCCGUCGCCGCCCGCGCGGCGUCCGCGCGCACCGCGAGGCGCGCCGGCCGGCGCGGGGCGGCGCGUCGCGUGGCGGCCGCGUGGAGGCGGACGGCGGUGGCGGUGGCGGUCGCGGCGGCGGCCAUGCCGGGUGGGAGGGUGGCGACGGGUGGUGGGAGUUCUUGGAGCUCGGUGGGGAUGGAUGGGGAGCUGGUGGAGAAGGAGAGGGCGGAGGAGAUGUGCGGGGGGUUGGUGCCUGGUGAUCAACGACGGGUUGAGGGUUGGUGGUGA